UAAUGUCACGGUCAGCGACAAAAAUGCUUUGACAUCAUAUGUGCAACUUUUAUUUAGCUUAGCCUACUUGUGUUUACAAGCUCAGAUACUGCUCUAUGUAGAAAACCUUAGGCGGAGGACGGCGGUACGAAUGAUUAUUUCCCACCACCUUGUUAUUCUGAGGAAUGUUUUUAGCAAAAUGAUUUGGGGAGCUACUGUCGCCUAGUAGGAUGGGUACCUUUGACAUUUGAAUCGAUCCGGUACUAAUUCCCGGUACCUACGAAUCGAUACCGGUACUUAACGGUACCAAUUUUCGAUACUUUUGAGUUUUUAAUAUUUUUAAUUCUCUUUUAUAAUUAAAUAUAUAUUUUUCUCAAUAUAUGACCAUAUUUGAUAAAUAUCACGAUAAAUAACAUACAACUGUUUAUAUUUUAACAUUGUCCUUGUAGUUUUAUAAGCUGAUAAUUAAACUGAAGCAAACAUCUUUACUGUGAACUAAAUUUACUGUGUAUCGUUAUUCCUUUCGCCGUCCUUUUUCAAUAGAUUUUUCCUACUGGGAAGUUAGAAUUUCCGAGGAGAAAGCGAACGCACCAUUAGAUGAUAACAAUGGUGGCAUAGGCUGUGUCUCAAUUCAGGGUCUGCAUCCUACCUCGGCCGGAUUCGUCGGCCGGUUACGUCACAGCGCCGCGACUCGGCCUGUCCCAAUUCGAAGACUCCUUCAAAUGCGGUCGACGAAUGCGGCCUUCUUUUCGCCUGAAUGAAGGAUGGGUCGGGUGUAUCCUUCAAUAGGUAGCAUUUCCCAAGAUGCCUUGCGGGCCGGCCGGCAGAAAAACUUAAAAACAAUGGCGGAAGGUGAAGCGGGAGCUGUCGGAGAGGAUUGCGCAUAUAAAUGUAAGUAUAAACUUGAAAACUGUCAGUUUAAGGACUUUUUGUGAUACAUGAACGUUAUUUUAGUUAGAAAUGUUACAGUAAAAGUGCUUGUAUUGCGGUCUCGGCUCGUAUGUUCGGCCGCGCUCGGUGUCGUACUUCUCCCACUACGUUUCCCCCUGAUUUUAAUAGAAGUUUGUAUUUUAGGACCAAAAGAGAAUACCAGGGAAUUUAUUAAGCUUAGGGCGGAGAUGGACCACAUGAUCACCGGAGCAAAGUAUUCGGCGGCUGUGGCAUGGAGACUAUUCUGGAGAAAAUGGGCAUCCAGGGGAAGGUGCCAGCGAUGAGCUUCUGGAGCUGAUCUGGGAGGACAUGAGGCUGCAGAGCAGCAGAGAGCACAGGAGAGAAGGAAGAACUUUGACAGCUUUUUACUUUGCUAGAAAAAAAUGGUUAAUGAAGAUUAAACAUGUACAUGUAAAAGAAAUAUCUAAAUAAAAUCAGUUCUGCAUUAAA